AUUGAACGCUGGCGGCAGGCCUAACACAUGCAAGUCGAGCGGAUGAAGGGAGCUUGCUCCUGGAUUCAGCGGCGGACGGGUGAGUAAUGCCUAGGAAUCUGCCUGGUAGUGGGGGAUAACGUCCGGAAACGGGCGCUAAUACCGCAUACGUCCUGAGGGAGAAAGUGGGGGAUCUUCGGACCUCACGCUAUCAGAUGAGCCUAGGUCGGAUUAGCUAGUUGGUGGGGUAAAGGCCUACCAAGGCGACGAUCCGUAACUGGUCUGAGAGGAUGAUCAGUCACACUGGAACUGAGACACGGUCCAGACUCCUACGGGAGGCAGCAGUGGGGAAUAUUGGACAAUGGGCGAAAGCCUGAUCCUGCCAUGCCGCGUGUGUGAAGAAGGUCUUCGGAUUGUAAAGCACUUUAAGUUGGGAGGAAGGGCAGUAAGUUAAUACCUUGCUGUUUUGACGUUACCAACAGAAUAAGCACCGGCUAACUUCGUG
rnacentral:rRNA from 1 species